AAAGCUUCAGCGCUGGACCGAGAUCCUCCAAUGCCCCAGCUCCGAGGAGGACAAGGAGAUUCGGAAGAAGCAGGUCCGUCCUCUUUUCCGCCACUUCCGCCGCAUCGACGCCUGUCUGCAGCCCAGAGAGGCCUUCCGGGGAUCAGAUGAGAUCUUUUGCAGGGUGUACACGCCGGACCACUCGUACGUGACGAUCCGCAGCCGUCUGUCGUGCCGCGUGGGGGAGAUCCUGGCGCUGGUCAGGG